rnacentral:lncRNA from 1 species
ACUGCUCCUUCUAACCACAACCCCCCUCGGCACCCCCCUCCUCCGGGGCUGGCCGCCUGCCCUCCCCUCGGUCCUCCUCUCCGGGAAAGGAAGAAACCAGAGGGAGGGAAGGGAGGGGGCCAGAGUAGCGUGUAGAGUCGGCCGAUGGGAGGGGGGCAGCUAUAGAUGCUUCUUUUUUUCUCCUCCUGCUUCUUCCGAAAGUUAUUGUUUCAUAAUUCAUGCAAUGGGUGCUAAUCGCCCGCUCGCCAGCCACCGUUCACUCGCAGUACUUACAGUUCACGGGACACUGCGCGCCACGGGCUCCGUGCCCCCACAAAGUCAUCCCCGCAGCGGGAAGAUCCUGAGAUCCAGUCCCCACACUCUGGGAAAGGGCCGGAACCGCUUCAGCAAGCUGGCGGUGUAGCCUGGAAGCCGAGUGGAGCAAACCUGCAGCCUUCCCCGCCUGUCAGCCGGGCUAGUCCUCACUGCUACUCGAGUUAAGUCCAAUUCACGUUCCAGCCACUCACUCUAGACACAGUCUCUGUUUAGGCUCCGGAGGUCCAGACAACCGUGAGCCGCUUCUGGCAAGAGGCUCCGGGGGCAGCAACAAGCCAGUCUCAACUCUGACUCCUCUUAAGCAGCCGGGAAGCCACUCAACAUAUCUUGAAUGAAAAAUUCCAAGGCAGGUCGCUCCGGGCAAGGUGCAGCGAAGACGCCUCGCGUCACAGCUCGGUCCGCGACCGGGUGUCCCCGGCGCGCCAAAGAGCAGCCCGAGCCAUCUUCAGAGACGCCCAGAGUCGGUUGCUCCUCACCCCGGAGAGCUCGGGUUUCUCUUUUUUUCUUAACAACUCUGCGCAAGGUCAUUAGUCACGAAGCCGCCGCCUGAAACCGCAGCAACCAUUCGCCCGCUGGGGCUAGAGCCGAACCGUGCGCACCGCGCGGUGCCCAAGUUUGGAUUCUCAACCGCAGAGUCCGUGCCUUCCCUCACCUGCAUUCGGCCCGCGUGUUGGAGCAGUGGGAUCUGCAGCGCUGUGCGCGAUUCAGGGAGGAGAUUGCAGCCUCUCUCUCUCCGCGCUCUCUCGAUCCCUCCCCUCCCUCCCUCCUUCUUUCUCUCCUCCCUCCCCUUCUCUCUCCUCCCUCCUCUUCUUUCCCCUUUCCCCCCCUCUCACUCUCUCUCUCUCUCGCACAGUCUCUCAGCUUCUUCCAGUUUCAAUUCAGGGAGCCGAACUUGAUCCCUUUGCAGUUCAAAGAUGAACAAUUGCAGAAAGACCUUUGGCAGAUGAGAUGCAGUACAACCCAUUUAGAGUCACUUGAAGCUAUUCGCUGGCAACAACUAUAGUAAACUGGGAUAUGGCAAUACAUUCUGCAGGAUGGCCUGAACACACUGACCAUCUCUUCACUACAGAGCCAGGAUAUAUCAAAGGUUAGUAUGAACAGUUACCACUGAUCUAAAUGAUGUGCAUAUUAAGAAUUUGAGAGUGGGGGAAAACCUCAUUAUACUGGCUCAAGUAAGGGUUGCACUAAAACAACCAUGCUUGUAUAAGAAACCAUUGAAAAUCAUGAAUUACCUCUCUAAUGCUAACUUCAUGUUUUAUGUUAAUUUCC